GGGCAAGAGGCGAGGUUCACUGCCUAGGUGGAGGCAGCGUGAUGAGCCAUUGAGGAGCCGUCGACUUGAGGCAACGGGGUCGUUGCCAAGUUGAGUGGGGGAGAAUGUCACCCCACAAAUUUUCACUCCCGUAGAGGUCCAAUUUUUUUCGCAAGGUAGCCUACAGAGGGAGGUUCAGUGGGCGUAAGUCCUUGCGGGGCAAAGGGGUGGUACGCAUUGUGUGGUAGGCAAUGCGGGCGGAAAUUGAGGUUUUUCGGCUAAACAGGCUCAUCGGGUGAGCUGGGGAGCAAUUUGGCAAGUGCAGGCCGAAAUGAGGUUCAAGCUGCCAAGCCGGGCCCAAAAUGAGGUUCACUGCGGGCUGGAGGCCUACUGGCGCCUGCGGAGCGUGCUGGGGAGCUACGCGGGCCAAAACGAGGUUCAGGAGGCCUAGCGCGGGCCCGAAGGCCAAUCGGGCGUGUGGCAGCGAGCUGGGGGCGAGACAGGCCCAAAACGAGGUUCACCGGGCGAGGCGCGGGCCCGAAGCCCAGAGGAGCGCGCGGGAACGGGCGCGCGGGAGUGCUGGGCGCGCGCGGGAAAGGCGCGCGGGCAAAUGAGGUUCAAACUGGCGCGGGAAGGCAGGGCGCGCGCGCGGGCGAGGUUCAAAUCGCGCGCGGGAGCUGCGAGGCGCGCGCGGGCCGCGGGACGAAACGAGGUUCACCCGCGAAGGUUCUGGAAGCGCCUGGAAGGCGCGCGGAGCGUCUGGGGCGCGCGGGAAGCGUCGGGCGCGCGCGGGCUGGGCGCCAGCCCGCCCAAACGAGGUUCCCUCUGCGCAGCAGCCCGCCAAAAUGAGGUUCUCCCGCCAGAAAUCUGCAGCCCGCCCAUUUUCGAAUUUUGGCCGCCAAAGGGAGUUCAAGCUCGGCCAAAACACUAUAAAUAGGGGUUCUAAGGCAAAUUUUGAUGCAUAGAGAGUUCCUUGAUGCUCCUUGUACACUUAGCCAAAUUU
rnacentral:misc_RNA from 1 species